AUUGAACGCUGGCGGCAGGCCUAACACAUGCAAGUCGAACGAGUGGCGGACGGGUGAGUAAUGUCUGGGAAACUGCCUGAUGGAGGGGGAUAACUACUGGAAACGGUAGCUAAUACCGCAUACCAUCGGAUGUGCCCAGAUGGGAUUAGCUAGUAGGGGGGGUAAAGGCUCACCUAGUCGACGAUCCCGAGCUGGGCUUAGAGGUUGACCAGCCACACUGGAACUGAUACACGGUCCAGACCCCUACGGGAGGCAGCAGUGGGGAAUAGUGCACAAGUGGCGAAAGUCUGAUGCAGCCAUGCCGCGUGUAUGAAGAAGGCCUUCGGGUUGUAAAGUACUUUCAGCGGGGAGGCGUUACCCGCAGAAGAAGCACCGGCUAACUUCGUGCCAGCAGCCGCGGUAAUUC
rnacentral:rRNA from 1 species